CAACUACUCCCUCUGUCCCAAAUUUCUUGUCUUAGAUUUGUCUAGAUACGGAUGUAUCUAAUACUAAAAUGUGACUUGAUACAUCCGUAUCUAGACAAAUCUAAGACAAGAAUUUUGGGACAGAGGGACUACUUU
rnacentral:pre_miRNA from 1 species